CACGAACGCUGGCGGCAGGCUUAACACAUGCAAGUCGAGCGCCCCGCAAGGGGAGCGGCAGACGGGUGAGUAACGCGUGGGAAUCUACCCAUCUCUACGGAAUAACGCAUGGAAACGUGUGCUAAUACCGUAUACGUCCCUCGGGAGAAAGAUUUAUCGGAGAUGGAUGAGCCCGCGUUGGAUUAGCUAGUUGGUGGGGUAAAGGCCUACCAAGGCGACGAUCCAUAGCUGGUCUGAGAGGAUGAUCAGCCACACUGGGACUGAGACACGGCCCAGACUCCUACGGGAGGCAGCAGUGGGGAAUAUUGGACAAUGGGCGCAAGCCUGAUCCAGCCAUGCCGCGUGAGUGAUGAAGGCCCUAGGGUUGUAAAGCUCUUUCACCGGCGAAGAUAAUGACGGUAACCGGAGAAGGAGCCCCGGCUAACUUCGUGCCAGCCGCCGCCGUAAUAC
rnacentral:rRNA from 1 species